GAUGAACGCUGGCGGCGUGCCUAAUACAUGCAAGUCGAGCGAACGGACGAGAAGCUUGCUUCUCUGAUGUUAGCGGCUGACGUGUGAGUAACACGUGUAUAACCUACCUAUAUUACUGGGAUAACUUCGUGAAACCGGAUCUAAUACCGGAUAAUAUUUUGAACCGCAUUUUUCAAUAGUUAAUUACUGUCUUUCUGUCACUUAUCGAUGUAUCCUCGCUGCAUUAGCUAGUUGGUAAGGUAACGGCUUACCAAGGCAACGAUGCAUAGCCUACCUGAGAGGGAGAGCGGGCAGACGGGAAGUGAGAAACGGUACAGACAACGACGGGAGGCAGCAGAAGGGAAUAUGACGAAAGGGGCGAAAGCAUGACGGAGCAAAGACGCGGGAGUGAAGAAGGUCUGCGGAUCGGAAAACUCUGUUAUGAGGGAAGAAAAAAGGUGUAAGUAAAUGUGAAAAGAUUGACGGUAACGAAGAAGAAAGCAACGGCUAACUAAGUG
rnacentral:rRNA from 1 species